GAGGUGCGAUUGUGUAAAGUUGUUCAUGGAUGGACAAUGAAUACAAUUGAUCAUCGAUCGUAUAUCUAAAUUCGAAUUGUGUAAUUUUGUCCAUUCCAUGAAGACCGAAAAGUGACCGGUCGUAUAUAAUCGUUUCAUGGAUUUGCGUUUUAUUAAUGAAAAACAUUCGCUAAAACUCAUUAUUUUUUAACAAAUAACAAAUGAAAUCCAUGUUCAAAUGCAGUUUUUUUUAAUAAAAUUUUAUGAUUGCACCUUAAUAACAUACUUUUAUUCAUAAAAACAUUGAAUUCGAAUUAAAAAUUUACCUCUGCAAAUCAUAUAACCAAACGCAUAGAACGAAUGAAAUACGAGUUCCACUACCCGCCCCCAGGUGGCAUACAUACUUUAAGGCUAGGCAGGCUAAGUUGAAUACUACUCUACAAUAGGUGGCGUUAAUGGACUACGAAAAACGACGUGAAAUGCUUACUUCUUUUUAUUUAUUUAUACUUUAAUGCCAAAAUUUUAACCUAAGGCGAACUUAAUCUCACAUUUAAUAAAUUAUACAUAAAUGUUUUGAGAAGUAGUAUUUUAAUCUAUGUUCUGUGAAUGACAAGUGUUAUCUGUCAAGUGUCAAAAAACUUGAAAAACUUUUACGAAGUUUUUGAAUUAUGUUAAAUUUGUUUAUAAACACAAGUAAGUAUAGAUUAUUACACUAAAUUAAGGCAUUCUAUCAAAAAUGAAAACAACCCAAGUUUCAAUAACUACUCCUGUAACUUUGGUUUCUUCAUAUCAAAUAAUCAAUUUCAUUUUCAGUGCCAAAGGCAAGAAUAAUUGCCCACGCCAGAUGGAGACCCAGCUAAAUAUUGUAGUAACAGCGCGUGGUCGUGUGAUGAGGGUUCCUUGACUUGAGUUCUGGCGCAACACGUCCUGGGCACUAAACAAGAUUGGGGAUGGGACGUCUAAAGAGGUGCAAGCCUGGAAAACGCUCUCGUCUUGCUCUACAGCACUUGCACUUGUCCCACCAUCUACCAGUGUUGGAACUCUUCCAAUAAUUUCCCACACCCAGGUGGAGAAUACUCCAGUUACUGCUACUGCUACUCUAAAAUAUCUCUCAUCUUGUUCUACAGCGCCUGCACCUGUCCUACCAUCUACCAGUGUUGGAACUCUUCGAAGUGUAUUAAUGAUUAUUAUUUUAGUAACCAUAAAAGUUUAAAACAAUACAUUUUAUUGCAUAAUUAUUUGUUAGAAAAAACGACAAGUACAAAUGAGUAGGGAGGCUGUUGAUUUUUCAUGGUUAUUUUAUAUCUUGUUGAUUGUUCCAAAAAAAAACUAAGUUUUCAAGAAUGCUGUGAUUUAAAGUACCUAUAGUAUUAUAUUUAAAAUAAAAACUUAGUUUGUAAAGAGACGAAGGCUGACCACAAAAGAAGUACUUAUAGCUGUCUGUGUCUGUGUAAAGAAUUUAAAUAAAAAGAUGUGUACCUAUA